UACGGUCACAUCUCGUUGAAACACUGGUUCUUGUACGAUCACCGAAGUUAAGCAACGUCGAACCUGCUCAGUAACCAGAUGGGUGACCGCUUGGGAAUAAUAUGUGCUGUAAG